UAAAAAUUUGGUGUUUUUUUAAAUUAUAAAAUUAAAAAGUCAAUCAGUAUCUUUUAGUACUGCCUUUUAAAUAUCAAUACUUUCAGUGUUUUUUAUGGUUACAGGUCAUAGAACAUUCAUCUCUGAGGAAGUGAAAGUAAAAAUCCUCCCAAAGAGAAAUGGUGAAAAGAUAAAAACCUGCUGCGUUCACACCACAAGUACUUGAAGACAUUCCACAACACAGAAAGUGGUUUCACACUGAAGUCUCUUCUAAGUUUCCCCACAGAAGAAUCCAUCAAACAAUGACCUGACUGAUUCAUGAACCAAUAUGACCAAUGUUUAAGAGAUAUUGGUGCCUAAUAUAGAACAGUAUAUAACAAGAUCAAGAUAAUCUUCAAAGUUGAGAUAUAAACACUAGGGGGAGCCCAUUCUCUCCUGUUAUUGCCACUCUAUAGCAGAUGGAUUCAUCACAACAGACUAAAACAUUAAGCUUGAGGCUUAUUCCACCAAACUUCAAACUUUCUCUGCUGGAAGAUAAAGUUUAAUA